rnacentral:tRNA from 1 species
GGAGAGGUGACCGAGAGGCCGAUGGUGCCGCUCUCGAAAAGCGGUUCCCGAUUCUUCGGGACGUGGGUUCGAAUCCCACCCUCUCCG